UACGGAGGGGGCUAGCGUUGUUCGGAAUGACUGGGCGUAAAGCGCGCGUAGGCGGAUCAGAAAGUUGGGGGUGAAAUCCCGGGGCUCAACCUCGGAAUGGCCUUCAAAACUCCUGGUCUUGAGGUCGAGAGAGGUGAGUGGAAUUCCGAGUGUAGAGGUGAAAUUCGUAGAUAUUCGGAGGAACACCAGUGGCGAAGGCGGCUCACUGGCUCGAUACUGACGCUGAGGUGCGAAAGCGUGGGGAGCAAACAGG
rnacentral:rRNA from 1 species